GAACGGGUGAGUAAUGUAUCGGAACGUGCCCAGUCGUGGGGGAUAACUGCUCGAAAGAGCAGCUAAUACCGCAUACGACCUGAGGGUGAAAGCGGGGGAUCGCAAGACCUCGCGCGAUUGGAGCGGCCGAUAUCAGAUUAGGUAGUUGGUGAGGUAAAGGCUCACCAAGCCGACGAUCUGUAGCUGGUCUGAGAGGACGACCAGCCACACUGGGACUGAGACACGGCCCAGACUCCUACGGGAGGCAGCAGUGGGGAAUUUUGGACAAUGGGCGCAAGCCUGAUCCAGCCAUGCCGCGUGCGGGAAGAAGGCCUUCGGGUUGUAAACCGCUUUUGUCAGGGAAGAAAAGGUUCUGGCUAAUACCUGGGACUCAUGACGGUACCUGAAGAAUAAGCACCGGCUAACUACGUGCCAGCAGCCGCGGUAAUACGUAGGGUGCAAGCGUUAAUCGGAAUUACUGGCGUAAAGCGUGCGCAGGCGGUUAUGCAAGACAGAGGUGAAACCCCCGGGCUCAACCUGGGAACUGCCUUUGUGACUGCAUGGCUAGAGUACGGUAGAGGGGGAUGGAAUUCCGCGUGUAGCAGUGAAAUGCGUAGAUAUGCGGAGGAACACCGAUGGCGAAGGCAAUCCCCUGGACCUGUACUGACGCUCAUGCACGAAAGCGUG
rnacentral:rRNA from 1 species